rnacentral:rRNA from 1 species
GAGGAAAAGAAACUAACAAGGAUUCCCCUAGUAACGGCGAGUGAAGCGGGAAAAGCUCAAAUUUGUAAUCUGGCGCCUUCGGCGUCCGAGUUGUAAUCUCGAGAAGUAUUUUCCGCGCUGGACCGCACAUAAGUCUGUUGGAAUACAGCGUCAUAGUGGUGAGAACCCCGUAUGUGGUGCGGAUGCCCAGUGCUGUGUGAUAUACUUUCGAAGAGUCGAGUUGUUUGGGAAUGCAGCUCAAAUUGGGUGGUAAAUUCCAUCUAAAGCUAAAUAUUGGCGAGAGACCGAUAGCGAACAAGUACCGUGAGGGAAAGAUGAAAAGCACUUUGGAAAGAGAGUUAACAGUACGUGAAAUUGUUGGAAGGGAAACGCUUGAAGUCAGACUUGCAUUUUGGAGUUCAGCCGCAAGGUGUAUUCUUCGAUUCGCAGGCCAGCAUCAGUUUUCGGGGGUGGAAAAUCGCGGUUUGAAGGUAGCAGUCUCGGCUGUGUUAUAGCUUUCCGCUGGAUUCACUUUUGGGGACUGAGGAACGCAGUACGCUUUUUGCAAGAUUCUAGAGUCUUUCGUACUUAGGAUGCUGGUGGAAUGGCUUUAAACGACCCGU